GCCUGCAGCCUGCAGCCUGCAGCCCAGGGCAAGGUCAACCUCCACGUAGCCAGCCGGCUUUGGCCGCGGGAGGAAUAGUCUGAAGGACCCGUGGCAGCGCGGCGCUCUCGGCCUGCUGCAGCUGCGUUUCGAGGCGGAGCCCACCCUUGGUGGGGUCCCCCCAAGCCGGCGUGCCGGGGGCUCUGAGGACCUGGACCGUGUUGUGGAAGACAGUGUUGUAAUUCUGACUACACCGCGAAGGCGCGGAGCGAAGAGACCUGGCCGAGGACAUUGUGCUGCGCUGGAAACAGCUUCGGAGAACUCAUCGCAAGUUACUGUGUCGAUCAUCCAACCGCUGAAGGGCUGCUCUGUGCCGGGCGCUAAGGCAAGGGCACUGUUACAAACUGCAUCAUCAUUAGCACCCCAUAUGUAUGAACCACAUUUUAAUUUUGCAACAGUCUCUGAUAAGAUUGGAGAUCUACAGAGAAGUUAUGUUGCUGCACAGAAGUCUGAAGCAGCAUUUCCAGAUCAUGUGGAUACACAACAUUUAAUGAAGCAAUUAAAGCAGCAUUUUGCUAUGCUUCGAUCGUUCCUUAGACCAAAUAUGUUCGUAUGAAAAGGCAUUAUACUGGGGGGAAAAAGUAGUGUGUGUGUGUGUGUGUAUGUAUAUACAUAGGAUAUAUAUAUAUGUUAUACAAACCUAUGUUCAAUAUUAGCGAAGGUGAUACAUUAAGGGAGUUUAACCAGAAUGUAUAAUGAAAAUUUUAUAAUAAUAGUAACUUUGUAAGAUAAUAAUAU